CCAGAGGAUUAAAGAAUUCUUUUUUUCUUCUUGAUACAAAAAGGUAUUUUUUUUAAAUUCACAGAGGAGAAACAUAAUUUAAUUUUUGAAUAUUUUCUUUAACAUUUUCAAAUACAUGUGAAAGAGAGAGGGCUUGGUCAAGUUCCCGGUUAAUUUAUUUUCUUGGGUCUAAUUUCCUCGACCUGCUCAAUAAGGAUGUCACACUUGGAUGACUUCUGAUCACCCCUGGUGGGGGUCUUCAGCUCUGAAAUCUUAAAAUACCUUACUUCUAUUUUACAAAGCAGAAGAGAGGCUUAUAUUUGACAAACUGUGAGACUCACUAAGUUUCUGAAAAUUUUUUACCACAUAAUCCCUUAAUUUAGACUCUGAAUUCUUCCAACUACUGGUUUAAAAAUAAUAAUAA
rnacentral:lncRNA from 1 species